GCUUAGCAGUGGAUGGAGCUCCAGAGUCCUGGGAGAGCCAGGUUUGAAGCUGAAAGGCCUAGAACUCCAUGCCUUCGUGAUGACAGAGAACUCCAGGUCUCGGGAGCCGACAUGACCAUCGCGUGACCAUCGCCCGUGUGUAACUAAUGACCUGUGGAACUGUGCUGUGGAACCCUACUUUCCUCACCAUGGGACCUCAGUGAACCUACCUGUUCCUGUCAUCAAGGAGGGUGGGUGCUAUAGUGUAGAUGGAUAGGGGAAGCAGCAGAGGGCCCCAGGCACAGGCACUGCCUGCCAGCUAUUUGUGGUGGCCUGGGGGUGCCAUCUCCGGUUUCAAUUCAUGCCUAGUCCUUGGCCAGAUACACACUGUCUCCAUGUACCUGAUGGGAGGACUGCUGGCCCCAUUUCCGAGUUCCCACAGCCUCGGAAU
rnacentral:lncRNA from 1 species